AUUGAACGCUGGCGGCAGGCCUAACACAUGCAAGUCGAGCGAGCGGCGGACGGGUGAGUAAUGUAUGGGGACUGCACGCUAGAGGGGGAUAACUACUGGAAACGGUGGCUAAUACCGCAUACUAUCGGAUACCCCAUAUGGGAUUAGCUAGUAGGUGGGGUAAAGGCUCACCUGGGUGACGAUCCGUGGCUGGUCUGAGAGGAUGAUAAGCCACACGGGGACUGAGAGACGGCCCAGACGCCUACGGAGUGAGCAGGGGGGAAUAGUGCACAAUGGGCGCAAGCGUGAGAGAGCCAUGCAGCGUGUAGGAAGAAGGCCUUAGGGUUGUAAAGUACUUUCAGUGGGGAGGGGUUACCAGCAGAAGAAGCACCGGCUAACUCCGUGCCAGCAGCCGCGGUAAUUC
rnacentral:rRNA from 1 species